CAUUACUGAGUUUACGCUCUAUAACCCUUUGUGAACAUACCUAUCACUGUUGCUUCGGCGGGUAGGGUCUCCGCGACCCUCCCGGCCUCCCGCCUCCGGGCGGGUCGGCGCCCGCCGGAGGAUAACCAAACUCUGAUUUAACGACGUUUCUUCUGAGUGGUACAAGCAAAUAAUCAAAACUUUUAACAACGGAUCUCUUGGUUCUGGCAUCGAUGAAGAACGCAGCGAAAUGCGAUAAGUAAUGUGAAUUGCAGAAUUCAGUGAAUCAUCGAAUCUUUGAACGCACAUUGCGCCCGCCAGCAUUCUGGCGGGCAUGCCUGUUCGAGCGUCAUUUCAACCCUCAAGCUCUGCUUGGUGUUGGGGCCCUACAGCUGAUGUAGGCCCUCAAAGGUAGUGGCGGACCCUCCCGGAGCCUCCUUUGCGUAGUAACUUUACGUCUCGCACUGGGAUCCGGAGGGACUCUUGCCGUAAAACCCCCCAAUUUUCCAAAGGUUGACCUCAGAUCAGGUAGGAAUACCCGCUGAACUUAAGCAUAUCAA
rnacentral:rRNA from 1 species